rnacentral:rRNA from 1 species
UACGUAGGAGGCAAGCGUUGUCCGGAAUUACUGGGCGUAAAGCGCGUGUAGGCGGCAGGCCAAGUCUGUGGUGAAAUCGCUCGGCUCAACUGGGCGGGGUCCAUGGAAACUGGUCAGCUGGAGGACGGUAGAGGUGAGUGGAAUUCCCGGUGUAGUGGUGAAAUGCGUAGAGAUCGGGAGGAACACCCGUGGCGAAGGCGGCUCACUGGGCCGGUCCUGACGCUGAGACGCGAAAGCGUGGGGAGCGAACAGG